rnacentral:misc_RNA from 1 species
GAUGAAGAACGCAGCGAAAUGCGAUAAGUAAUGUGAAUUGCAGAAUUCAGUGAAUCAUCGAAUCUUUGAACGCACCUUGCGCCCUUUGGCCAUUCCGAAGGGCAUGCCUGUUUGAGUAUCAUGAACACCUCAACUCUUCAUGGUUUUCCAUGAUGAGCUUGGACUUUGGGGGUCUUGCUGGCCUGUGGGUCGGCUCCUCUCAAAUGAAUCAGCUUGCCGGUUUUUGGUGGGCAUCACAGGUGUGAUAACUAUCUACGCUUGUGGUUUUCCACCAGGGUAACCUUCAGCAGUGGAGGUUCACUGGAGCUUACCAAUGUCUCUCCUCUGUGAGGACAGCCCUUUGAAUGUUUGAUCUCAAAUCAGGUAGGACUACCCGCUGAACUUAAGCAUAUCAAUAAGCGGAGGA